AUUGAACGCUGGCGGCAGGCCUAACACAUGCAAGUCGAACGAGUGGCGGACGGGUGAGUAAUGUCUGGGAAACUGCCUGAUGGAGGGGGAUAACUACUGGAAACGGUAGAUAAUACCGCAUACCAUCAGAUGUGCCCAGAUGGGAUUAGCUUGUUGGUGGGGUAACGGAUCACCAAGGCGACGAUCCCUAGCAGGUCUGAGAGGCUGACCAGCCACACGGGAACUGAGACACGGUCCAGACUCCUACGGGAGGCAGCAGUGGGGAAUAUUGCACAAUGGGCGCAAGCCUGAUGCAGCCAUGCCGCGUGUAUGAAGAAGGCCUUCGGGUUGUAAAGUACUGUCAGCGGGGAGGCGGUACCCACAGAAGAAGCACCGGCUAACUCCGUGCCAGCCGCCGCGGUAAUUC
rnacentral:rRNA from 1 species